GGAAGAAUGGCUGAGUGGCUUAAGGCACUGGUUUGCUAAAUCAGCGUAUGUUUUAUGAUGUACCAUGGGUUCAAAUCCCAUUUCUUCCG
rfam:Auxenochlorella protothecoides strain 0710 contig1223, whole genome shotgun sequence.